GACUGGGGCGGUCGCCUCCCAAAGCGUAACGGAGGCGCCCAAUGGUUCCCUCAGGCCGGAUGGCAAUCGGCCGGAGCGCGCAAGGGCAGCAAGGGAGCUUGACUGCGAGGCGGACAGGCCGAGCAGGGACGAAAGUCGGGCCUAGUGAUCCCACGGUGCCGAGUGGAAGGGCCGUGGCUUAACGGAUAAAAGCUACCCCGGGGA
rnacentral:rRNA from 1 species